rnacentral:misc_RNA from 1 species
CUACGAUCGGAGGUACUCGUAUCUCUUGGUCGGAUAUCGGUUUUUGUGCCUCGUACUCCAGUGUCGGCAUUAGCAUGGUCCCAAAGAACGGCCAGUUGUCCCAGUUUUCUUGACUCGGUGCUCAUGUGUCCUUGUCACGGUGCUGGCUUGGAAACAUCGAUAGCGCUCGCUCAUCGACUACUAACGUUGUCGAGGGCGUGGCGUGAUCGAUGUUCGAUCUCUCGUGCGCGGAAUGCCCAACGGCGCGGUGGUUCACCGAACCCCGCUAAAUAGACCCUCGAUGAAAUGUCGUCCGAUGCAAUCUUGAKCGACCAUCGUGCCUGCCAAUGUGUUUGCCGCCGAGAAGGGGCAUCGCAUGCAGUGCCGGUGUCGUACGGGAACGCUACCUGGUUGAUCCUGCCAGUAGUCAUAUGCUUGUUCUCAAAGAUUAAG